rnacentral:rRNA from 1 species
AUCCGCCGAUGUUCCUCCGAUGACUCGGCGGGGAGCUUUCCCCGGGAAACCAAAGCUUUUGGGUUCCGGGGGAAGUAUGGUUGCAAAGCUGAAACUUAAAGGAAUUGACGGAAGGGCACCACCAGCGGUGGGGCUUGCGGCUUAAUUUGACUCAACACGGGAAACCUCACCAGGCCCGGACAUUGGAAGGAUUGACAGAUCGAUAGCUCUUUCUCGAUUCAGUGGGUAGUGGUGCAUGGCCGUUCUUAGUUGGUGGAUACUGAUUUGUCUGCUUAAUUGCGAUAACGAACGAGACCCUAACCUAUUAACUAGGCGACACCGGGAUACAUAGCUCCCGGCGAGAUUUAUUCUUCUUAAGGGGACAGGCGGCUCUCAGCCGCACGAGAUUGGGCAAUAACAGGUCAGUGAUGCCCCUAGAUGUUCUGGGCCGCACGCGUGCCACACUGAAGGAAUCAGCGUGUGCUCCCCUGUCCGAAAGGUCCGGGUAACCCGCUGAACCUCCUUCGUGCUAGGAAUUGGGGCUUGCAAUUUUUCCCCAUGAACGAGGAAUCCCCAGUAAGCGCGAGUCAUAAGCUCGCGUUGAUUACGUCCCUGCCCUUUGUCCACACCGCCCGUCGCUACUACCGAUUGAAUGAUUUAGUGAGGUCUUCGGACCGGCGAAAACCGGCACCGACUCGCUCGGUAUCGAUUUCGCUGGAAAGAUGACCAAACUUGAUUAUUUAGAGGAAGUAAAAGUCG